UACGUAGGGUGCAAGCGUUAUUCGGAAUCACUGGGCGUAAAGGGCACGUAGGCGGCUUAGUAAGUCUAAAGUGAAAUCCUUGGGCUUAACCCAAGGGCUGCUUUAGAUACUGCAAAACUCGAGUUCGGGAAAAGCAACCGGAAUUCCUGGUGAAGGGGUGAAAUCCGUAGAUAUCAGGAAGAACACCAGUGGCGAAAGCGGCUGGCUAGAACGCAACUGACGCUUAGGCACGAAAGCGAGGGGAGCAAACAGG
rnacentral:rRNA from 1 species